GCCGCCGUAGCUCAGCCCGGGAGAGCACCCGGCUGAAGACCGGGUUGUCCGGGGUUCAAGUCCCCGCGGCGGCA
rnacentral:tRNA from 6 species